ACGAGUGGCGGACGGGUGAGUAAUGUCUGGGAAACUGCCUGAUGGAGGGGGAUAACUACUGGAAACGGUGGCUAAUACCGCAUAACGUCGCAAGACCAAAGAGGGGGACCUUCGGGCCUCUUGCCAUCAGAUGUGCCCAGAUGGGAUUAGCUUGUUGGUGAGGUAACGGCUCACCAAGGCGACGAUCCCUAGCUGGUCUGAGAGGAUGACCAGCCACACUGGAACUGAGACACGGUCCAGACUCCUACGGGAGGCAGCAGUGGGGAAUAUUGCACAAUGGGCGCAAGCCUGAUGCAGCCAUGCCGCGUGUAUGAAGAAGGCCUUCGGGUUGUAAAGUACUUUCAGCGGGGAGGAAGGUGUUGUGGUUAAUAACCGCAGCAAUUGACGUUACCCGCAGAAGAAGCACCGGCUAACUCCGUGCCAGCAGCCGCGGUAAUACGGAGGGUGCAAGCGUUAAUCGGAAUUACUGGGCGUAAAGCGCACGCAGGCGGUCUGUCAAGUCGGAUGUGAAAUCCCCGGGCUCAACCUGGGAACUGCAUUCGAAACUGGCAGGCUUGAGUCUUGUAGAGGGGGGUAGAAUUCCAGGUGUAGCGGUGAAAUGCGUAGAGAUCUGGAGGAAUACCGGUGGCGAAGGCGGCCCCCUGGACAAAGACUGACGCUCAGGUGCGAAAGCGUGGGGAGCAAACAGGAUUAGAUACCCUGGUAGUCCACGCCGUAAACGAUGUCUACUUGGAGGUUGUGCCCUUGAGGCGUGGCUUCCGGAGCUAACGCGUUAAGUAGACCGCCUGGGGAGUACGGCCGCAAGGUUAAAACUCAAAUGAAUUGACGGGGGCCCGCACAAGCGGUGGAGCAUGUGGUUUAAUUCGAUGCAACGCGAAGAACCUUACCUGGUCUUGACAUCCACAGAACUUUCCAGAGAUGGACUGGUGCCUUCGGGAACUGUGAGACAGGUGCUGCAUGGCUGUCGUCAGCUCGUGUUGUGAAAUGUUGGGUUAAGUCCCGCAACGAGCGCAACCCUUAUCCUUUGUUGCCAGCGAUU
rnacentral:rRNA from 1 species